CUUGGUCAUUUAGAGGAAGUAAAAGUCGUAACAAGGUUUCCGUAGGUGAACCUGCGGAAGGAUCAUUAUUGUAAAACAGAGGGGGUGUCUUCCACCCUGCUCCGGCUUUGCGGCCGUGAGCGGGAGGUCGCGCUCCUUUCCACAACCAAACCCCUGUGCACAUCUCUGGGGACUUCUGGUGGGUUUGCGCCUGCCGAGUCCCUGGCUUUACACAAACUCUUCUAUGUAUUUAGAAUGUUCAAGGACCUCGCGUCCUGUUAACAAAUAACAACUUUCAACAACGGAUCUCUUGGCUCUCGCAUCGAUGAAGAACGCAGCGAAAUGCGAUAAGUAAUGUGAAUUGCAGAAUUCAGUGAAUCAUCGAAUCUUUGAACGCACCUUGCGCCCUUUGGUAUUCCGAUGGGCAUGCCUGUUUGAGUGUCUUGAAAUCAUCAAACCCCCGGUUUUGCGAUCGCGGGGCUUGGACUUGGGGGCUCUGCUGCCGCGAGGCGGCUCCCCUUAAAUGCAUCGGUCGGGCCUACUGGGGCUCCGUCACCUGGGCGUUGUAUUACCCUCGCUCUGCCGACGUGCCACAGCUUUGCGCGCCCGACCCCGACCUGCCUCUGGAGCGGCGGUCAACACUCUUUGAGAUCUGACCUCAAAUCAGGUAGGACUACCCGCUGAACUUAAGCAUAUCAAUAAGCGGAGGA
rnacentral:rRNA from 1 species